GACGAACGCUGGCGGCGUGCUUAACACAUGCAAGUCGAACGGAAAGGCCCUGCUUUUGUGGGGUGCUCGAGUGGCGAACGGGUGAGUAACACGUGAGUAACCUGCCCUUGACUUUGGGAUAACUUCAGGAAACUGGGGCUAAUACCGGAUAGGAGCUCCUGCUGCAUGGUGGGGGUUGGAAAGUUUCGGCGGUUGGGGAUGGACUCGCGGCUUAUCAGCUUGUUGGUGGGGUAGUGGCUUACCAAGGCUUUGACGGGUAGCCGGCCUGAGAGGGUGACCGGCCACAUUGGGACUGAGAUACGGCCCAGACUCCUACGGGAGGCAGAAGUGGGAAAUAUUGCACAAUGGGCGGAAGCCUGAUGCAGCAACGCAGCGUGCGGGAUGACGGCCUUCGGGUUGUAAACCGCUUUCGCCUGUGACGAAGCGUGAGUGACGGUAAUGGGUAAAGAAGCACCGGCUAACUACGUG
rnacentral:rRNA from 1 species